AGGCAUGCAAGUCGAGCCGGGAUUCUAAUUUUUCAAUUCUUCGGAAGAGAAGUUUUAGAUGAGAGCGGCGAACGGGUUAGUAAUAAAUGGGUAAUUUGCCUCUUUGUUCGGAAUAGCCACCGGAAACGGUGAUUAAUGCCGGAUGUGUUCGGGAACUGCAUAGUUCCUUAUGUAAAGGCGGGGAUUCUUCGGAACCUGUCGCAAAGAGAUAAGCCCAUUUCCUAUCAGCUUGUUGGUGAGGUAAUGGCUCACCAAGGCUUACGGGUAGUUGGUCUGAGAGGAUGAUCAGCAACACUGGGACUGAGACACUGCCCAGACUCCUACGGGAGGCUGCAGUCGAGAAUCAUUGUCAAUGCACGAAAGUGUGAACAUGCGACGCCGCGUGGAGGAAGACGGCCUUUGGGUUGUAAACUCCUGUCAGCAGGGAGUAAGGAUGGUACCUUUAAUACAUGUGCCAUUUGAUAGUACCUGCAGAGGAAGUCACGGCUAACUCUGUGCCAGCAGCCGCGGUAAUACAUGAGGUGGCGAACGUUGUUCGGAUUUACUGGGCGUAAAGGGUCCGCAGGCGGUCCGGUGUGUCAGAUGUGAAAGCCCACAGCUUAACUGUGGAAUUGCAUUUGAAACUGC
rnacentral:rRNA from 1 species